rnacentral:rRNA from 2 species
GAUGAACGCUGGCGGCGUGCCUAAUACAUGCAAGUCGAGCGAGGGGAGCAAUCUCCUAGCGGCGGACGGGUGAGUAACACGUGGGUAACCUGCCCAUGAGCCCGGGAUAACUGUCGGAAACGGCGGCUAAUACCGGAUGCGGCUUGGGAGCCGAAUGGCGCUCAAGCGAAAGUUUCGGCGCUCAUGGAUGGGCCCGCGUCCCAUUAGCUAGUUGGUGAGGUAACGGCCCACCAAGGCGACGAUGGGUAGCCGGCCUGAGAGGGUGUACGGCCACACUGGGACUGAGACACGGCCCAGACUCCUACGGGAGGCAGCAGUAGGGAAUCUUCCACAAUGGGCGAAAGCCUGAUGGAGCGACGCCGCGUGAGGGAAGAAGGUCUUCGGAUCGUAAACCUCUGUCCCCUGGGACGAGAACGGACGGUACCAGGGGAGGAAGCCACGGCUAACUACGUG